UGCUUCGUUUUGGAGAUAUUCCAUUUUGUAUGAUAUGCAAAGGACCAACUCUCUACAUCACACAUGCAUAUAAUGACUUACUUUAAAAUGUUAUAUAAUUUUGUCACUAUCAAAUAAAUUCGCUCAAAAUGAAUGAUGAGCACGAGAUUUGUCCACAACAACACCCAUGUAGGUUUUCUACUGAUUGUGUUUAGUCGUAUUAAAGAUAUACAGCUUUCAG
rnacentral:lncRNA from 1 species